rnacentral:rRNA from 1 species
AUUGAACGCUGGCGGCAUGCUUUACACAUGCAAGUCGAACGGUAACAGGGUGCUUGCACCGCUGACGAGUGGCGAACGGGUGAGUAAUGCGUCGGAACGCACCGAGUAAUGGGGGAUAACGCAGCGAAAGCUGUGCUAAUACCACAUACGCUCUGAGGAGGAAAGCGGGGGCCCUUCGGGCCUCGCGUUAUUCGAGCGGCCGACGUCUGAUUAGCUAGUAGGUGAGGUAAGAGCUCACCUAGGCGACGAUCAGUAGCGGGUCUGAGAGGAUGGUCCGCCACACGGGGACUGAGACACGGCCCAGGCUCCUACGGGAGGCAGCAGUGGGGAAUUUUGGACAAUGGGCGCAAGCCUGAUCCAGCCAUGCCGCGUGUCUGAAGAAGGCCUUCGGGUUGUAAAGGACUUUUGUCAGGGAGGAAAUACUUAGCGCUAAUACCGUUGAGGGAUGACAGUACCUGAAGAAUAAGCACCGGCUAACUACGUGCCAGCCGCCGCAGUAAAAC